UACGGAGGAUGCAAGCGUUAUCCGGAAUGAUUGGGCGUAAAGCGUCCGCAGGUGGCGAUGUAAGUCUGCUGUUAAAGAGUGAGGCUCAACCUCAUAAGAGCAGUGGAAACUACAUAGCUAGAGUACGUUCGGGGCAGAGGGAAUUCCUGGUGUAGCGGUGAAACGCGUAGAGAUCAGGAAGAACACCAGUGGCGAAGGCGCUCUGCUAGGCCGACACUGACACUGAGAGACGAAAGCUAGGGGAGCAAAUGGG
rnacentral:rRNA from 1 species